UCUCUUGGAGGUAGAGCACUGUUUGGGUGAGGGGUCCAUCCCGGAUUACCAAUCUCAGAUAAACUCCGAAUGCCAAUGAGAUAUAAUCGGCAGUCAGACUGCGAGUGCUAAGAUCCGUAGUCGAAAGGGAAACAGCCCAGACCACCAGCUAAGGUCCCAAAAUAUAUGUUAAGUGGAAAAGGAUGUGGGGUUGCACAGACAACUAGGAUGUUAGCUUAGAAGCAGCUAUUCAUUCAAAGAGUGCGUAAUAGCUCACUAGUCGAGUGACCCUGCGCCGAAAAUGUACCGGGGCUAAAACAUAUUACCGAAGCUGUGGAUACCUUUAUAGGUAUGGUAGGAGAGCGUUCUAUGUGCGAAGAAGGUGUACCGUGAGGAGU
rnacentral:rRNA from 1 species